GAAAUUAAUUUAAAAAUACACACAUUUGUAAUAUCAAAGUUUUUAUUUUGCAAAAGUGAACUAUGCAAUUAAAAAAAAAUGUUAAAUUACUGUAUAAAUAAAACUAAAUAUAACAUACUAAAUAAAUGAAAUUACUAUUUGGAUGUGGAAGGUGUACAAAACAUUGUAAUUGCUUGUUGUCUAAGCUGUUUAGUGUGGAUCUGGUUAACAAAAAGUGGGAACACGCUUCAAACUUAUCAGACAGAUUAUUUUUGUUAUCAUCUUUCAUGAACUCAAAUCAAAGUCUAUAUAUUUAGUUAACAAAAUCCCAUUAUGAUUUAAAUACUAAUGCUUUUUAUUAUAACAAUUUUUGAUAAAUACAAUGUCAUAAACACGACGAAACCAGAUUAUAUCAGUCGUUUUUAAAUACAUAUGUAUACAUUCAAGCACUAUGAUAAAAUAAAAAUUGUCUACAUAAAACGAAUUGAG